AUUGAACGCUGGCGGCAGGCUUAACACAUGCAAGUCGAGCGGAGCGAGGGUGCUUGCACCUUAGCUUAGCGGCGGACGGGUGAGUAAUGCUUAGGAAUCUGCCUAUUAGUGGGGGACAACAUUCCGAAAGGGAUGCUAAUACCGCAUACGCCCUACGGGGGAAAGCAGGGGAUCUUCGGACCUUGCGCUAAUAGAUGAGCCUAAGUCGGAUUAGCUAGUUGGUGGGGUAAAGGCCUACCAAGGCGACGAUCUGUAGCGGGUCUGAGAGGAUGAUCCGGCACACUGGGACUGAGACACGGCCCAGACUCCUACGGGAGGCAGCAGUGGGGAAUAUUGGACAAUGGGGGGAACCCUGAUCCAGCCAUGCCGCGUGUGUGAAGAAGGCCUUUUGGUAGUAAAGCACUUUAAGCGAGGAGGAGGCGCUCUAGGAUAAUACCCUAGAUGCGUGGACGUUACUCGCAGAAUAAGCACCGGCUAACUCUGUGCCAGCCGCCGCGGUAACAC
rnacentral:rRNA from 1 species